rnacentral:rRNA from 1 species
AUUGAACGCUGGCGGCAUGCCUUACACAUGCAAGUCGAACGGCAGCGGACCUUCGGGUGCCGGCGAGUGGCGAACGGGUGAGUAAUAUAUCGGAACGUACCUUUCAGUGGGGGAUAACGUAGCGAAAGUUACGCUAAUACCGCAUAUUCUGUGAGCAGGAAAGCAGGGGAUCGCAAGACCUUGCGCUGAUUGAGCGGCCGAUAUCAGAUUAGCUAGUUGGUGAGGUAAAGGCUCACCAAGGCGACGAUCUGUAGCGGGUCUGAGAGGAUGAUCCGCCACACUGGAACUGAGACACGGUCCAGACUCCUACGGGAGGCAGCAGUGGGGAAUAUUGGACAAUGGGCGCAAGCCUGAUCCAGCAAUGCCGCGUGUGUGAAGAAGGCCUGCGGGUUGUAAAGCACUUUUGUUCGGGAAGAAAUCAUGUCGGUUAAUACCCGAUGUGGAUGACGGUACCGAAAGAAUAAGCACCGGCUAACUUCG